UAGAUUGGUGAACUGAUUCCCAUACCCGUCCUUCGGAAAAAUAAAUUAUCAAUUGCCUAAGAACCAACUCUUUUCCAAUUAGUUGGGGGGGUGUGGAGUCCCCCCAAGACGAUCCUCGGUGGUGGUAUGGGUGAUGAUCCCCCACGCGGGGAGUGACCGCCCCCCCUACUCCUGGGGGAGGGAGGGGGGAGUUAUUUUCCGGGGGGGGAGAACGGCUGACGGCGUGCCCCCUGGUGGGGGAGGGCGGCCUUUGGGUUGUAAUCCCUUUUUCUCAAGGAAAAAGAUCUGACGGUACCUGAAGAAUCAGCAUCAGUUAACUCCGUGCCCCGAGCCAAAAUAAUAGGGAGGAUGCUUGUUUUAUCUUGAAUUAUGGGGCGUAAACCUUCCGCAAGUGUUUGGUCAAGUCUGAUGUCAAGGCGCGCACC
rnacentral:rRNA from 1 species